GGAACCUGGUUGAUCCUGCCAGUAGUCAUAUGCUUGUCUCAAAGAUUAAGCCAUGCAUGUCUAAGUAUAAACAUUUUUAUACAGUGAAACUGCAGAUGGCUCAUUAAAUCAGUUAUAAUUUAUUUGAUGAUUACUUACUACAUGGAUAACCGUAGUAAUUCUAGAGCUAAUACAUGCGUUAGGUCCCAACUCUU
rnacentral:rRNA from 1 species